GGUAGUUUGACUGGGGCGCUCUCCUCCUAACGAGUAACGGAGGCGCACGUAGGUUGGCUAAUCCUGGUCGGACAUCAGGAGGUUAGUGCAAUGGCGUAAGCCAGCUUUACUGUGAGCGCGAUGGCUCGAGCCGGUGCGAAAGCAGGUAAUAGUGAUCCGGUUGUCCUGAAUGGUAGGGCCAUCGCUCAACGGAUAAAAGCUACUCCUGGUAUAACAGGUAGAUACCGCCCAAUAGUUCUUAUCGACGGCGGUGUUUGGCCCCUCGAUGUCGGCUCAUCACAUCCUGGGGCUGAAGUAGGUCC
rnacentral:rRNA from 1 species